rnacentral:lncRNA from 1 species
AUGGGCCUUGGAAUGCACGACAGGCAAUUGGUAAAGGUCCAGGCUCACCCACCAACAAUAUUAAAAAACAAAAAGCAAAAGUCUUGGUCUCUGCGCGUUCAUUUAGCUCAAUUUCACAGUAAAUUUCAAAAUCCACAAAGCAAAACAACCUAUACGACAAAGCCAAAAAGAAUAAACAUUCAACGAAAGUGGAAGGAAAAGACCUUGCAGCAACAAGGAAAGAAAAAUUACAACAUUCCCAUGGCUAAUAAGAAUAUAGGGUAA